ACAAAGGGUUUUUUAAAACCCAUGGAUAAUAGGUGAAAAAACUUUU
rfam:Nomascus leucogenys chromosome 9, whole genome shotgun sequence.